AUUGAACGCUGGCGGCAGGCCUAACACAUGCAAGUCGAGCGGAUGAAGGGAGCUUGCUCCUGGAUUCAGCGGCGGACGGGUGAGUAAUGCCUAGGAAUCUGCCUGGUAGUGGGGGAUAACGUCCGGAAACGGGCGCUAAUACCGCAUACGUCCUGAGGGAGAAAGUGGGGGAUCUUCGAACCUCACGCUAUCAGAUGAGCCUAGGCCGGAUUAGCUAGUUGGUGGGGUAAAGGCCUACCAAGGCGACGAUCCGUAACUGGUCUGAGAGGAUGAUCAGUCACCCUGGAACUGGAACACGGUCCAGACUCCUACGGGAGGCAGCAGUGGGGAAUAGUAGACAGUAGGCGAAAGCCUGAUCCAACCAUGCCGCGUGUGUGAAGAAGGUCUUCGGAUUGUAAAGCACUUUAUGUUGGGAGGAAGGGCAGUAAGUUAAUACCUUGCUGUUUUGACGUUACCAACAGAAUAAGCACCGGCUAACUUCGUG
rnacentral:rRNA from 1 species